rnacentral:tRNA from 2 species
GGAGAGGUGGCCGAGUGGCUGAAGGCGCUCCCCUGCUAAGGGAGUAUGGGUUUAUACUCAUCGAGGGUUCGAAUCCCUCUCUCUCCGACA